rnacentral:rRNA from 1 species
ACCUCUGCAAUGGGCGAAAGCCUGACAGGGUUACUCUGAGUGAUUCCCGUUAAGGGAAUCUUUUGGCAUCUCUAAAAACGAUGCAGAAUAAGGGGUGGGCAAGUCUGGUGUCAGCCGCCGCGGUAAUACCAGCACCCCGAGUGGUCGGGACGAUUAUUGGGCCUAAAGCAUCCGUAGCCGGUCUUGCAAGUCUUCCGUUAAAUCCAGCUGCUUAACGGAUGGGCUGCGGAAGAUACUACAAGACUAGGAGGCGGAAGAGGCAAGCGGUACUCAGUGGGUAGGGGUAAAAUCCUCUGAUCCAUUGAAGACCACCAGUGGCGAAGGCGGCUUGCCAGAACGCGCUCGACGGUGAGGGAUGAAAGCUGGGGGAGCAAACCGGAUUAGAUACCCGGGUAGUCCUAGCCGUAAACGAUACUCGCUAGGUGUCAGCCACGGUGCGACCGUGGUUGGUGCCGUAGGGAAGCCGUGAAGCGAGCCACCUGGGAAGUACGGCCGCAAGGCUGAAACUUAA